UAGCGUCUGUUCUGCAGCGCAGGUCUGAUAAUGAGGAAUAUGUUGAAGUGGGCCGCCUGGGUCCGUCUGACUACUUCGGUGAGAUAGCGCUGCUAUUGAACAGACCCCGUGCAGCCACAGUCGUGGCCAGAGGCCCGCUCAAGUGCGUGAAGCUGGACCGGCCACGUUUCGAGCGCGUCCUCGGGCCAUGCUCUGAGAUUCUCAAGAGGAACAUUCAGAGAUAUAACAGCUUCAUUUCCCUCACAGUCUAACCCAACCUUUAUGACAUGCAUCUAGACCUCCGUCAGGUUACUUGGGUGCCUGGUUGCAUAAAAUAGGUACUUCAUCAGUUUUGCUUAAAUCAUUACCUUAACUCUAGUUGAGUUGCUCUGAACAGGGCCGACAGUAAAUAAUAAUAA